rnacentral:rRNA from 1 species
GACGAACGCUGGCGGCGUGCUUAACACAUGCAAGUCGAACGGAACUUCUUGGAUUGUGGCUUCGGCCAAAUGAAUUGAAGUUUAGUGGCGGACGGGUGAGUAACGCGUGAGUAACCUGCCUUUCAGAGGGGGACAACAGUUGGAAACGACUGCUAAUACCGCAUAAUGUAUAUUGGGGGCAUCCUCGAUAUACCAAAGAUUUAUCGCUGAAAGAUGGACUCGCGUCUGAUUAGAUAGUUGGCGGGGUAACGGCCCACCAAGUCGACGAUCAGUAGCCGGGCUGGGGGGUUGAACGGCCACAUUGGGACGGAGAGACGGCCCAGACUCCUACGGGAGGCAGCAGUGGGGAAUAUUGGGCAAUGGGCGCAAGCCUGACCCAGCAACGCCGCGUGAAGGAAGAAGGCUUUCGGGUUGUAAACUUCUUUUGUCAGGGAAGAUGAACAGACUGUACCUGACGAAUAAGCCACGGCUAACUACGUGCCAGCCGCCGCCGUAACAC